rnacentral:rRNA from 1 species
AUUGAACGCUGGCGGCAUGCCUAACACAUGCAAGUCGAACGGGGCAGCAAUGCCUAGUGGCGGACGGGUGAGGAAUACGUAGGAAUCUGCCCUUAAGUGGGGGAUAACCAGGGGAAACCCUGACUAAUACCGCAUGAUCUCUUCGGAGCAAAGAGGCGGACCGCAAGGCCUCUCGCUUCUGGAUGAGCCUACGUCUGAUUAGCUAGUUGGUAGGGUAAAGGCCUACCAAGGCGACGAUCAGUAACUGGUCUGAGAGGAUGAUCAGUCACACCGGAACUUAGACACGGUCCAAACUCCUACGCGAGGCAGCAGUGGGCAAUAUUGGACUAUGGGCGCAAGCCUGAUCCAGCCAUGCCGCGUGAGUGAUGAAGGCCCUAGGGUUGUAAAGCUCUUUCACCGAUGAAGAUAAUGACUGUAGUCGGAGAAGAAGCCCCGGCUAACUUCGUGCCAGCCGCCGCCGUAAGAC